ACUCCCAGGAAACAGAAAGCCUGAGGGAGGCUCUGCUGUCCUCUCGGUCCCACCUUCAAGAGCUCGAAAAGGAGCUGGAGCACGAGAAGAUGGAAAGCAGCAGCUUUUGAAAGACUUGAGGGAGAAGCAGCAAGAGGUCUUGCAUUUCAGGGAGGAACGUCUUUCCCUCCAGGAAAACGACUCCAGACUGCAGCACAAGCUGGUCCUCCUGCAGCAACAGUGUGAAGAGAAACAGCAGCUCUUUGAGUCCCUCCAGUCAGAGCUACAAAUCUGCGAGGCACUUUAUGGCAAUUCCAAGAAGGGGCUGAAAGCUUACAGCCUGGAUGCCUGUCACCAAAUCCCUUUGAGCAGUGACCUGAGCCACCUGGUGGCAGAGGUCCGAACUCUGAGAGGGCAGCUGGAGCAGAGCAUUCAGGGGAACAACUGUCUGCGACUGCAGCUGCAACAGCAGCUGGAUAGCGGUGCUGGCAAAGCCAGCCUCAGCCCCUCCUCUGUUAACCAGAACUUCCCAGCCAGCGUUGACCCUGGAAACAAGCAGCUGCUCCUCCAAGGU